rnacentral:rRNA from 1 species
UAGUAGGUGAGGUAAUGGCUCACCUAGGCGACGAUACAUAGCCGACCUGAGAGGGUGAUCGGCCACACUGGGACUGAGACACGGCCCAGACUCCUACGGGAGGCAGCAGUAGGGAAUCUUCGGCAAUGGGGGCAACCCUGACCGAGCAACGCCGCGUGAGUGAAGAAGGUUUUCGGAUCGUAAAGCUCUGUUGUAAGUCAAGAACGGGUGUGAGAGUGGAAAGUUCACACUGUGACGGUAGCUUACCAGAAAGGGACGGCUAACUACGUGCCAGCAGCCGCGGUAAUACGUAGGUCCCGAGCGUUGUCCGGAUUUAUUGGGCGUAAAGCGAGCGCAGGCGGUUUGAUAAGUCUGAAGUUAAAGGCUGUGGCUCAACCAUAGUUCGCUUUGGAAACUGUCAAACUUGAGUGCAGAAGGGGAGAGUGGA